UUUAUUAGAUAAAAAGCCAGUUCAUGCUUUUACAGUAUGAAAAUUGGUGAUUUAUAAUAACUUAGCAAAUCGCAAAGUGAAAACAGGCGAUAAAUCAUUCAAGUUUCUGACCUAUCAGCUUUCGACGGUAUGGUAUUGGCUUACCGUGGCAGUGACGGUUAACGGGGGAUUAGGGUUCGAUUCCGGAGAGGGAGCCUGAGAAACGGCUACCACAUCUAAGGAAGGCAGCAGGCGCGCAAAUUACCCAAUUCUAACAGUUUGAGAGAGGUAGUAACAAGAAAUAACAAUACAAGGCAGUUAAAAUGCUUUGUAAUUGGAAUGAUAGAAAUUUAAACCCUUUUUAAAGUAUCAAUUGGAGGGCAAGUCUGGUGCCAGCAGCCGCGGUAAUUCCAGCUCCAAUAGCGUAUAUUAAAAUUGUUGCAGUUAAAAAGCUCGUAGUUGAAGUUCUGCUGAAAGUAACCGGUCUGCUUUUAAUAAAAGUGGUAUCUUGGUAUGUAUUUAGCAAUGAUGUCCUUUGAAGUGUUUUUUACUUUAUUGUAAUAAAGCAUAUUCAGGACUUUUACUUUGAGAAAAUUAGAGUGUUUCUAGCAGGCUAACGCUUUGAAUACUGCAGCAUGGAAAUAAUAAGAA
rnacentral:rRNA from 1 species